GUGGGGAAUAUUGGACAAUGGGCGAAAGCCUGAUCCAGCCAUGCCGCGUGUGUGAAGAAGGUCUUCGGAUUGUAAAGCACUUUAAGUUGGGAGGAAGGGCAGUAAGUUAAUACCUUGCUGUUUUGACGUUACCGACAGAAUAAGCACCGGCUAACUUCGUGCCAGCAGCCGCGGUAAUACGAAGGGUACAAGCGUUAAUCGGAAUUACUGGGCGUAAAGCGCGCGUAGGUGGUUUUGUAAGUUGGAGGUGAAAUCCCCGGGCUCAACCUGGGAACUGCCUCCAAAACUGCAUGACUAGAGUACGGUAGAGGGUAGUGGAAUUUCCUGUGUAGCGGUGAAAUGCGUAGAUAUAGGAAGGAACACCAGUGGCGAAGGCGACUACCUGGACUGAUACUGACACUGGGGUGCGAAAGCGUGGGGAGCAAACAGGAUUAGAUACCCCUGUAGUCC
rnacentral:rRNA from 1 species